rnacentral:misc_RNA from 1 species
GAUGAAGAACGCAGCAAAAUGCGAUAAGUAAUGUGAAUUGCAGAAUUCAGUGAAUCAUCGAAUCUUUGAACGCACCUUGCGCCCCUUGGUUAUUCCAAAGGGCAUGCCUGUUUGAGUAUCAUGAACACCUCAACUCUUGUGGUUUCCCACAAUGAGCUUGGACUGUGGAGGUUUUGUUGGCCCUGUGGUCAGCUCCUCUCAAAUGGAUCAGCUUACCGGUGUUUGGUGGCAUUACGGGUGUGAUAACUAUCUACGCUCGUGGUCGUCUCCAAAUAACCUCCAGUGAUGGAGGUUCGCUGGAGCUUAUAAAUGUCUCUCCCCAGUGAAGACAGCCUUUGAACGUUCGAUCUCAAAUCAGGUAGGACUACCCGCUGAACUUAAGCAUAUCAAUAAGCGGAGGA